rnacentral:lncRNA from 2 species
CAUAUUCCCCAUCUCGAGUUCUUCCCGCACGUCAGUAGCAGCGUCAAAUUCCGGACCUGGGGCGAGGCGACUCUAGCGCGGGAAAUCAUAGCAGCGGCGCUGGUGCGCAGCCACGGCGAGCGCGACGACCCCGGCGCCCGCGACAGGCUACAGGAUAAGUUCUGUGGCUGUCGGGGCAGGUGCAUGGGCUGCACGGCGACGCUCGACGCGCCGGCCGCAAGCACGGCAAGGAUGGACAGGGCCAAGUGAUAUGAACUGUAGAACAUGGUGAUAGAAAAGAAUUUUUUCAGUGUAAAUCCAUGCAUAUAGAUUAGGGAGGAAUGAAAUGUGUAAAAGAAGCUCAUCUAUUAUCCCUCUACUGUUGAGUGUAAUGUGGAGAUUGCCCAAGUGAUAUUGUAUAAUCUAGUAAGCAUAUUAUUAUGCAAUUCAAACGUUGUAUCCUUUUGGGAUUAUCUUAUUCGCAUUUUUCUCAUUUUUUUC